rnacentral:sRNA from 1 species
CCGACACCUAGCCCGACGGGGCGAAAAGCGGAAACCCUUGCCGCCUGGUGUUGGCAAACCCAACAAGGG